GAAGUCCAAUAUGAUUGGCCCCGGAGGCUCGUCCCCGUACCGCCCCUGGCGGGGGCCAUGCUCCCGAAUAGCAGGUUGGACCUGGCCGCUGUCACUCAGCCCCGGGGGUCCAAAAGCGCGUGUAGGGGCGAGGCUGGGGAAUUGGUCCACCUUGACCCUGGAGCCCCGCCUUCUGGUGGGCGGGACUGGUGGAGCUGUAGACCAACCAAGAAAGAUAGGUCGGCGUCUGAAACAAAGCAAGCGAAGUGUUUCCCAAAGAACUGAGAAGGGGAAGAGCUGUUGGUGCGGCUUGUUCCCGCUGCACUGAGUAGGGGAACUAGCUCUUCUCCGCUGACUCGACGAGUCGGAGUCUCCUGCUUGUCUCUCACGCCUCCGAGCGGCUCUCUGCGGGAGCCCAGUCCGCGACGAAGUUGGACUGUGACUUCGCUUGCUGGCUGUUUCCUGCAGCUAUAGACUGGUAAAGAAUCGCCGCGUCUUUAUUUCCAGCAAACCCUCUGCAACAACACAUUUCCUCCUCCUUCGUCACAAACGAGCUGUUCUAAAGGCUUCGACUGCUCCAUGGUCGGUGAUACACAUUUGUGUGCCCGCAGACCACAUGCAGAAAACCAGCGGCCACUCUCUGAGCUUCGGGCUCAGGCUGGCACCUGAGCAAGUCCAGGGCUCAGGUCACCAGCCCUCGAAGGACAGUAAGCGUCAGCUAAGCGAACCUAAGUCAAUGACGGCAAGAAGCGGUCCGAAAAACUGUUGUUUGGCUGUUAUUUGGCAGAGGAAAGAGUUAGUUUAGAUGACUUCUUCUGACCCUUGAGCUUCCUCAGUCAAGAAUUCUCACCAUUUUCCAGAGUUCCGACGAGUUUUUCGCAAGGCUUUCAAACCAACUCAUCACACUCACCAUAUUAUUGUAGCGGAAUAAUAUUUUGAGAUAUUAGUGGAGGACCGCCUCUCCUAUCCCAGCCACAGCACACAAACACCACUUCCCUGUGUGCAGAAGCCUUGCCCCAUCCUGCAGCUAGGCCAUUCCACCCUCCCGCCUUAGAGAAUGGAUGACACUAAAAACAGCUGGUAACUAAUGAGUCGUUUUGGUUUUAGACUUAAACAGCCAAAGCUUUAUGAGUUUCAGGGUUCCGAAAUUUAUGUUUCAAAUCAGGGCAUAAAUAUUAAGGCCAAAAACAGCCUAUUUGAAAGAACAAGAUGAAACCAAUUCCUCCGUCCCACAUCACUCCCCUUGUAAUAUACUCCAUCUUUGUUAAUCCCUAAUGCCUCAUUUUGUAUCUAUCAUGCUUCUAUCUUUCAAAUACUUAUGAAUCACUCCAUCUAAUAAUAGAUUCUCAGAAUUGAACCUGAAUUUAUCCACUUCAGGUUCAAUUCAGACAAGACAAGAAUCUCAUCUCUUCAUUGGUGACCUUUAACCUAACAGAGCAUCAGCUGGGCCCUGCAGAGAUGGAUAGGUACCUCUGGACUCUGAAAUGAGGCAUCCUUUUGGGGCAGAUCUAAUUGUACGAACGUCUGUCCUUACUUAGCCUGAGCAGAGAAACUGCUCCUGCAUUCUUUAUACCAUUUGUGUUUUCAACUUACUCUACACAUCUAAGAAGUACUUAUAGUUCAUCCAAGUUUAUAAUAUUUUGAAUAUGUGAUAUUUGUGUGGCUUUUUACUGCUUAUCAUGGUACUUCAAGGGCUGAGACACAUGUUUUUUUGCACAAAAAUGGACUUGUUACUUGACACCUCUAAAUUAAAAUCAGACCAAAA